GACGAACGCGGCGGCGUGCUUAACACAUGCAAGUCGAACGAAGAGCGAUGGAAGCUUGCUUCUAUCAAUCUUAGUGGCGAACGGGUGAGUAACGCGUAAUCAACCUGCCCUUCAGAGGGGGACAACAGUUGGAAACGACUGCUAAUACCGCAUACGAUCUAAUCUCGGCAUCGAGGAUAGAUGAAAGGUGGCCUCUACAUGUAAGCUAUCACUGAAGGAGGGGAUUGCGUCUGAUUAGCUAGUUGGAGGGGUAACGGCCCACCAAGGCGAUGAUCAGUAGCCGGUCUGAGAGGAUGAACGGCCACAUUGGGACUGAGACACGGCCCAGACUCCUACGGGAGGCAGCAGUGGGGAAUCUUCCGCAAUGGACGAAAGUCUGACGGAGCAACGCCGCGUGAGUGAUGACGGCCUUCGGGUUGUAAAGCUCUGUUAAUCGGGACGAAAGGCCUUCUUGCGAAUAGUUAGAAGGAUUGACGGACCGAAUAGAAAGC
rnacentral:rRNA from 1 species